AUCCCUGGCCUUGUUCAGUGAGUUAAGGAUCCGGUUCUUCCGAGAGCCGUGGUGUAGGUCGCACAUGCGGCUCGGAUCUGGCGUUGCUGUGGCUGUGGUAUAGGCUGGCGGCUACAGAUCUUAUUGGACCCCUAGCCUGGGAACCUCCAUAUACCAUGGGUGUGGCCCCAAAAAGACAAAAAACAAACAAAAAACUCCUGGCCCUGCUCCCACAUAUAAAGUCUCAGGCCUGGAAGUUCCCAUUGCGGCUCAGCAGGUUAUGAAAUCUGACCAGUAUCCAUGAGGGUUUGGGUUCGAUCCCUGGCCUCACUCAGUGGGUUAAGGAUCCAGCCUUGCCACAAGCUGCAUAGGUCGCAGACGCGGCUUGGAUCCUGCAUUGCUGUGACUAUGGUGUAGGCCGGCAGCUGCAGCUCUGAUUUGACUCUGAGCCUGGGAAACGUCCAUAAAAAAAUUUUUUUUAAUUAAAUAAAUAAAGGUCCAGGUCUUGGCUGAGUUUCUGAACUUCUCAGCUUAAUUUCCUCCCUGUAAAAUGGCAUCCCAACUGACUUUCUCCCAGGCUUGUGCUUGAGAGAAGAUGCCUCGGCAUAGGGUCAGCCUCGAAGACUUUCCCAGGGCUCCUCUGUGUCUGCCUCUUUACCCUUCUUAGCUCAAGGUAUGGCAUCUCUCUUUCUCAGCUCUGCCUGUUUUCUGAUUACCUCCGUCCAGUCUACCUGUCCCCAGGGGUCCCUGUUCCUGCUCCCUCUCUGGGGCUGUGUCUCCACACCCUGUGUGUCCCUGUCUUAGCCUCUCCCCUGGCUCUGCCCCAAGGGAUGGAUCGAUGGCCACCGCUGCUUAUCGAUUGGGGUGGGCAUCCAAGUGUGGCUGCUCGAGGCCAAUAUUGAUGGACAGGAUUGGUGUCCAGGCCACACGGAGUGGCAGUUGGGGAGCCUGGGGCUGCAAGGCCAGUAGGGCUGCCGCCUUUCCUGCCAGGACCUGGAGCGGGAGUCCUUAAAGCAGCAGACCCUGCGGCUCACAUGGGAGCAGAGGGUGGGGGAGAGGACCUCUGAGGACAGACGGCCAAGGCUUGCUGUCAUUUAACAUGUGUCUAUUGAGCACCUACUAUGUGCAAGGGAGCAAUCAGCAAAAAUCAAUAAGUAAAAUUAUAUAGUCUGUUGUGCAAGAAACAGGGAAAGGGGGAUGGAAGUGCAGGUUGGGGAAGGUGCCAUUUUUUUGUUUGUUUGUUUUGUUUUUUAGGGCUGCACCCAUGGCAUAUUCAGGUUCCCAGGCUAGGGGUCGAAUCAGAGCUGUAGCUCUUGGCCACCGUCACAGCCACCCACGGCAGAUCCUAGUCGUGUCUGCGAACUAUACCACAGCUCAUGCCAACACCAGAUCCUUAACCCAUUGAGCGAGGCCAGGGAUCAAACCCUCAUCCUCAUGUGAAUCCUAGUCAGGUUUAUUAACCGCUGAGCCAUGAUGGGAACUCCAGUAUUUGUCUUUUUAUGACUGGCUUCUUUUUUUCUUCUUUCUUUUUUUUAAAAUUAAAGUAUAGUUGAUUUACAAUGUUGUGCCAGUUUCUUCUGUACAGCAAAGUGACCCAGUCAUACAUAGAAAUACAUUCUUUUUCUCAUGUUUCUUCCAUCAUGUUCUAGCACAGGAGAUUGGAUAUAGUGCCCUGUGCUGUACAGUAGACCUCAUUGCUUAUCCAUUCUAAACAUAAUAGUUUGCAUCUACUAACCCCAAACUCCCAGUCCAUCCCACUCCCCCUCCCCACCCUUGGCAACCAGGACUCUGUUCUCUAUGUCUGUGAAUCUGUUUCUGUUUUGUAGAUAAGUUCAUUUGUGUCAUAUUUUAGAUUCCACAUAUAAGUGAUGUCAUAUGAUAUUUGUCUAUUUCUUUCGGAAUGACUGGCUUAUUUCAUUUAGCACGUCUUCAAGGUUCAUCCCUGUAGCAUGUGACAGGAUUGCUUUCCUUUUUUAAGGCUGAAUACUAUUCCAUAGUAUGCAUACACCACACAAUUUGUUUAUCCAUUCAUUGGUUGAUGGACACUUGGGUUGUUUCCAUCUCUUGGGUAUUGUGAGUAAUGCUGCAAUAUACGUGAAUGUACAAAUCU
ensembl:lncRNA